CGGGGUGCAGCAGGCGCGAAAACUUUACAAUGCUGGCAACAGCGAUAAGGGGACCUCGAGUGCCAGGAUACAAUCUUGGCUGUCGCGAUGCCUAAAAAGCAUUGCAUAGCAAGGGCCGGGCAAGACCGGUGCCAGCCGCCGCGGUAACACCGGCGGCUCGAGUGGUAACCGCUAUUAUUGGGUCUAAAGGGUCUGUAGCCGGCCGGAUAAGUCUUUUGGGAAAUCCAGCUGCUCAACAGUUGGGCUUUCAGAAGAUACUGUUCGGCUCGAGACCGGGAGAGGUGAGAGGUACUUCAGGGGUAGGGGUGAAAUCUUGUAAUCCUUGAAGGACCACCAGUGGCGAAGGCGUCUCACCAGAACGGAUCUGACGGCAAGGGACGAAAGCUAGGGGCACGAACCGGAUUAGAUACCCGGGUAGUCCUAGCCGUAAACGAUACUCGCUAGGUGUCAGCCACGGUGCGACCGUGGUUGGUGCCGUAGGGAAGCCGUGAAGCGAGCCACCUGGGAAGUACGGCCGCAUGGCUGAAACUUAAAGGAAUGGC
rnacentral:rRNA from 1 species